GAUGAAGAACGCAGCGAAAUGCGAUAAGUAAUGUGAAUUGCAGAAUUCAGUGAAUCAUCGAAUCUUUGAACGCACAUUGCGCCCGCCAGUAUUCUGGCGGGCAUGCCUGUUCGAGCGUCAUUUCAACCAUCAAGCCCUGCUUGCGUUGGGGUCCUGCGGCUGCCCGCAGGCCCUGAAAACCAGUGGCGGGCUCGCUAGUCACACCGAGCGCAGUAAUACAUCACGCUUUGGGUGUGCGGCGGGUUCUUGCCGUUAAACACCCCCUUUUUACCAAGGUUGACCUCGGAUCAGGUAGGAAUACCCGCUGAACUUAAGCAUAUCAAUAAGCGGAGGA
rnacentral:misc_RNA from 1 species